rnacentral:tRNA from 1 species
CAGGAAGUAGUUUAAUUAGAAUGUCGGCUUUGGGCGUUGAUGGUGGGGUGUAAUGUCUCCUUCCUGA